rnacentral:antisense_RNA from 1 species
AGCCCUCAGCGUACAUGCCAGCUAAUUACAGAUGCAGGAGCAAACCCCUGGCCCAUACAUCAGUUGGGUGUGGUGACUCACACCUGCAAUCCCAGCACUUUGGGAGGCUGAGGAGAGCAGAUCACUUGAGGCCAGGAGUUCGAGACCAGUCUGGGCAACAUAGAUUUUGGAAGCAUUGCCUUCUACAGAAUCCACAGUAGUCCGAAGUUCUUCUACGGUUUUUGUCAAACUUUGAUUUUCCAUCUCUAGCUUCAAUAAUCUACUUGAUGUCAACUCAUUCACCUCAUGGCCCAGGGAUUUCUGCGGUGCUAUAAUAUUGAAAAAUACACCAUUGUAUUUACUCUGUACUGUUUUUACUAUGUUUACUCUUUACUAUUUAAAAAGUUGAGUGUAUAUGCAUUGCAUCAUCUGAUCUUUAACUUUAUUAAAAAUUCAAUGGGGUUAUGUAAGAUAAACAAGAUAAGAGAGGUAAAUCUUUUUUUUCCUUUUCUUUUUUUCUUUUUUUAAAGAGACGGGGUGUCUCUCUGUCAUCCAGGUUGGAGUGCAGUGAUGUGUUCCUAGCUCACUGCAGCCUCAAACUCCUGGUCUGAAGGGAUCCUCCCACCUCAGUCUCCCAAGCAGCCGGGACUACAGGUACAGCCAGCUAGUUUUUUUAUUUUUUAGUAAAGACUGGGUCUCUGUUACUUAGGCUGGUCUCGAACUCCUGAGCUCAAGCAAUCCUCCUGCCUUGGCCUCCCAAAGUGCUGGGAUUACCGGCAUGAGCCGCUGCACCCAGCCAAGAGAUACGUUUAACUUUUAAUGCAUCCACAGCAUUCUAGUUAAAAAAAGCAUAAAAUUUAGAUUGAAGAAAUUGGAGUUCAAGCAGACCCAUUAAAUAUUUUGCUGAUAUAAGAACAUUAGGAUUUACAAAUGAAAUAUGAGACCUACUAUUUCAAGAAAGGAAAUGAAUAAAGGUACUGGAGGGA